rnacentral:rRNA from 1 species
CGAGAAGGGGACUUCGGUCCCUGAGUAGAGCGGCGCACGGGUGAGUAACGCGUGGAUUAUCUACCCAGAUAUUCGGGAUAACGGCGGGAAACUGCCGCUAAUACCGGAUACGCUCCAAUUUCGGUUGGGGGAAAGGCGGCCUCUGCUUGCAAGCUGUCGUAUCUGGAUGAGUCCGCGUCCCAUUAGCUUGUUGGUGGGGUAAUGGCCUACCAAGGCGACGAUGGGUAGCUGGUCUGAGAGGAUGAUCAGCCACACUGGAACUGAAACACGGUCCAGACUCCUACGGGAGGCAGCAGUGGGGAAUAUUGCGCAAUGGGGGAAACCCUGACGCAGCGACGCCGUGUGAGGGAAGAAGGCUUUCGGGUCGUAAACCUCUGUCGGGAGGGAAGAACCUUCCAGGCCUGAACAAGUCCUGGAACUGACGGUACCUCCAAAGGAAGCACCGGCUAACUCCGUGCCAGCAGCCGCGGUAAUACGGAGGGUGCAAGCGUUAAUCGGAAUCACUGGGCGUAAAGCGCGCGUAGGCGGCCUUUUAAGUCGGACGUGAAAGCCCUCGGCUCAACCGGGGAACUGCGUUCGAAACUGGGAGGCUUGAGUCCUGGAGAGGGUGGCGGAAUUCCGGGUGUAGGAGUGAAAUCCGU